GCGCAGCUACCAUGCAGUCGACGGCAGCACAGCAGUAGCAAUACUGUGGGUGGCGAGUGGCGGACGGGUGAGGAAUACAUGGGAAUCUGCCCUGUCGUGGGGGAUAACGUAGGGAAACUUACGCUAAUACCGCAUACGACCGGAAGGUGAAAGCGGCGGACCGCAAGGCGUCGCGCGACUGGAUGAGCCCAUGUCGGAUUAGCUAGUUGGCGGGGUAAAGGCCCACCAAGGCGACGAUCCGUAGCUGGUCUGAGAGGAUGAUCAGCCACACUGGAACUGAGACACGGUCCAGACUCCUACGGGAGGCAGCAGUGGGGAAUAUUGGACAAUGGGCGCAAGCCUGAUCCAGCCAUGCCGCGUGAGUGAAGAAGGCCUUCGGGUUGUAAAGCUCUUUUGUCCGGAAAGAAAAGCUCCGGGUUAAUACCCUGGGGUCCUGACGGUACCGGAAGAAUAAGCACCGGCUAACUUCGUGCCAGCAGCCGCGGUAAUACGAAGGGUGCAAGCGUUACUCGGAAUUACUGGGCGUAAAGCGUGCGUAGGUGGUUCGUUAAGUCUGAUGUGAAAGCCCUGGGCUCAACCUGGGAAUGGCAUUGGAUAUUGGCGACCUAGAGUGCGGUAGAGGGCAGUGGAAUUCCCGGUGUAGCAGUGGAAUGCGUAGAGAUCGGGAGGAACAUCUGUGGCGAAGGCGACUGCCUGGACCAGCACUGACACUGAGGCACGAAAGCGUGGGGAGCAAACAGGAUUAGAUACCCUGGUAGUCCACGCCCUAAACGAUGCGAACUGGAUGUUGGGUGCAACUAGGCACUCAGUAUCGAAGCUAACGCGUUAAGUUCGCCGCCUGGGGAGUACG
rnacentral:rRNA from 1 species